AAAAAAAUAAAAGUUGAAGUUCAUGGGACUAGUAAUGCAACUAGGAAUGAAUGAAGCGGGUAUUAUCUGUACCUGUAAACACCAUCUAUCUUUUCUUUAUUUCCGUCUCCUUUGAGGCCUUGAUGCCUCACCCAUGUAGCUUAAUUCACCUUCUGAAUGAAUGAAGCGGGUAGCACGCUACCUUUUUCUCAAAAAAAAGUAAUGCAACUAGGAAAGUAACAACCCCAAUU
rnacentral:lncRNA from 1 species